UUUUGAAACACCUCCCCAUCUCCACGGCAUCACCAUGCGAAUUCGCAAGGUGAACAACGAUUUCGCAUGGUGACGCUUGCCAAUUACACAAGAAUCAAAGGGGGAGAACAGAUGCAUUUACACAGGAACCAGGACCACAAAACUUGGAGAUGGUAUGUGACUUUCCAUCAGAGACUUGGUUGUUAUGACCCAUAAAAGUGAAGGAAAAUGAGAAGAGAAAGCAGUUCAGAAUCAAGAGGAAAAGUAGUGGAAUGAAGGAGAUUGUUGGCCUUUAGAAUGCCAAGCAACCAUAGAAUCUGGAUUUGUAGGACUGUUCUAUUGAAAUUGUAUUCAUGCUACUGUUUUCACUGAACUUCGGUGAUUGUAUUGGAGGUCUAUUAUAUUGAGACAGGGAGCAUUUUGGUUGUAUUAUGUGAAAUACAAAUACUGAUUAUUACAA